rnacentral:rRNA from 1 species
AUUGAACGCCUGGCGGAAUGCUUUACACAUGCAAGUCGAACGGUAGAGGGGGCAACUCCUUGAGAGUGGCGAACGGGUGAGUAAUAUAUCGGAACGUGCCCAGUCGUGGGGGAUAACGUAGUGAAAAUUACGCUAAUACCGCAUACGAUCUAAGGAUGAAAGCGGGGGAUCGCAAGACCUCGCGCGACUGGAGCGGCCGAUAUCAGAUUAGGUAGUUGGUAGGGUAAAGGCCUACCAAGCCAACGAUCUGUAGCUGGUCUGAGAGGACGACCAGCCACACUGGAACUGAGACACGGUCCAGACUCCUACGGGAGGCAGCAGUGGGGAAUUUUGGACAAUGGGCGAAAGCCUGAUCCAGCCAUUCCGCGUGCAGGAUGAAGGCCCUCGGGUUGUAAACUGCUUUUGUACAGAACGAAAAGGUCUCUAUUAAUACUAGGGGCUCAUGACGGUACUGUAAGAAUAAGCACG